rnacentral:rRNA from 1 species
GAGUUUGAUUCUGGCUCAGGAUGAACGCUGGCGGCAUGCCUAACACAUGCAAGUUGAACGAGAAGUUUUGGAGGGAGUCUUCGGACGAACGAAGGAAUGGAAAGUAGCGAACGGGUGAGUAACGCGUGGGCAACCAACCUUACACAGGGGGAUAACACAGAGAAAUCUGUGCUAAUACCGCAUAAGCGCACAGUACUGCAUAGUACAGUGUGAAAAACUCCGGUGGUGUAAGACGGGCCCGCGUCUGAUUAGCUAGUUGGUAGGGUAAAAGCCUACCAAGGCAACGAUCAGUAGCCGACCUGAGAGGGUGAUCGGCCACAUUGGGACUGAGACACGGCCCAAACUCCUACGGGAGGCAGCAGUGGGGGAUAUUGCACAAUGGAGGAAACUCUGAUGCAGCAAUGCCGCGUGAAGGAAGAAGGUCUUCGGAUUGUAAACUUCUAUCAGCAGGGAAGAAAANGACGNACCUGACUAAGAGCCCGC